rnacentral:rRNA from 1 species
UCCGUAGGUGAACUGCUGGAGGGAUCAUUA